CUGAGGCGUGACGACGAGGCACUACGGUGCUGAAGCAACAAAUGCCCUGCUUCCAGGAAAAGCCUCUAAGCAUCAGGUAACAUCAAAUCGUACCCCAAACCGACACAGGUGGUCAGGUAGAGAAUACCAAGGCGCUUGAGAGAACUCGGGUGAAGGAACUAGGCAAAAUGGUGCCGUAACUUCGGGAGAAGGCACGCUGACACGUAGGUGAAGUGAUUUACUCAUGGAGCUGAAGUCAGUCGAAGAUACCAGCUGGCUGCAACUGUUUAUUAAAAACACAGCACUGUGCAAACACGAAAGUGGACGUAUACGGUGUGACGCCUGCCCGGUGCCGGAAGGUUAAUUGAUGGGGUCAGCGCAAGCGAAGCUCCUGAUCGAAGCCCCGGUAAACGGCGGCCGUAACUAUAACGGUCCUAAGGUAGCGAAAUUCCUUGUCGGGUAAGUUCCGACCUGCACGAAUGGCGUAAUGAUGGCCAGGCUGUCUCCACCCGAGACUCAGUGAAAUUGAACUCGCUGUGAAGAUGCAGUGUACCCGCGGCAAGACGGAAAGACCCCGUGAACCUUUACUAUAGCUUGACACUGAACAUUGAGCCUUGAUGUGUAGGAUAGGUGGGAGGCUUUGAAGCGUGGACGCCAGUCUGCGUGGAGCCGACCUUGAAAUACCACCCUUUAAUGUUUGAUGUUCUAACGUGGACCCGUAAUCCGGGUUGCGGACAGUGUCUGGUGGGUAGUUUGACUGGGGCGGUCUCCUCCUAAAGAGUAACGGAGGAGCACGAAGGUUGGCUAAUCCUGGUCGGACAUCAGGAGGUUAGUGCAAUGGCAUAAGCCAGCUUGACUGCGAGCGUGACGGCGCGAGCAGGUGCGAAAGCAGGUCAUAGUGAUCCGGUGGUUCUGAAUGGAAGGGCCAUCGCUCAACGGAUAAAAGGUACUCCGGGGAUAACAGGCUGAUACCGCCCAAGAGUUCAUAUCGACGGCGGUGUUUGGCACCUCGAUGUCGGCUCAUCACAUCCUGGGGCUGAAGUAGGUCCCAAGGGUAUGGCUGUUCGCCAUUUAAAGUGGUACGCGAGCUGGGUUUAGAACGUCGUGAGACAGUUCGGUCCCUAUCUGCCGUGGGCGCUGGAGAACUGAGGGGGGCUGCUCCUAGUACGAGAGGACCGGAGUGGACGCAUCACUGGUGUUCGGGUUGUCAUGCCAAUGGCACUGCCCGGUAGCUAAAUGCGGAAGAGAUAAGUGCUGAAAGCAUCUAAGCACGAAACUUGCCCCGAGAUGAGUUCUCCCUGAGACUUAGAGUCUCCUGAAGGAACGUUGAAGACGACGACGUUGAUAGGCCGGGUGUGUAAGCGCAGCGAUGCGUUGAGCUAACCGGUACUAAUGAACCGUGAGGCUUAACCUUACAACGCCGAAG
rnacentral:rRNA from 1 species